rnacentral:rRNA from 1 species
AUGCACGCUGACAGAAUGCUUAACACAUGCCAGUCACCUUGAAUUUGGGUUUUUAACUUAGGUUUGGGUGGCGGACGGGUGAGUAACGCGUAAAGAACUUGCCUCACAGCUAGGGACAACAUUUGGAAACGAAUGCUAAUACCUAAUAUUAUGAUAAUAGGGCAUCCUAUAAUUAUGAAAGCUAUAAGCGCUGUGAGAGAGCUUUGCGUCCCAUUAGCUAGUUGGAGAGGUAACGGCUCACCAAGGCGAUGAUGGGUAGCCGGCCUGAGAGGGUGAUCGGCCACAAGGGGACUGAGACACGGCCCUUACUCCUACGGGAGGCAGCAGUGGGGAAUAUUGGACAAUGGACCAAGAGUCUGAUCCAGCAAUUCUGUGUGCACGAUGAAGUUUUUCGGAAUGUAAAGUGCUUUCAGUUGGGAAGAAAGAAAUGACGGUACCAACAGAAGAAGUGACGGCUAAAUACGUG